AAGAUUCCAGACACCCUUACUACAAAAGAAGACCAGGAUACUUCAUGGCCUUGCACACCAAUGGAAUUAUGGACUGGAUGGAAGAUUCUACACACCCUGACUACAAAAGGGCUCAGUUCACAGGAAGUGCAGGGUGGACAUCUGAGCCUUUUGGGUUGAGCCACCACAGUUCUUCAAUUUCCAACAUACAAAGGCCUGGAGGCAUCCUUAUUGUUUUAUUGGCUUCCUCCUGACCUUUGCUUGAUUGACAAGUUGACCCCCCCCAAGAUUUCAUCCUCCACCAAGCUGACUUUCCUACACGGUAUUGGUCACUAAGCUGUUUUUGCACUCAGGAUGCCACGGUGAUGACAUUCUCUCACAAACUUGUGACAGCACCAGCGCUACAGAACACACCAGACAUUGUGCGAGAAAAGAUAUUCGCCUGUUGGGUUUAAAUCCGAAAAUGUUGCAAAAUAGCCGCUUUUCGCUUUGACACCAAAUCCUCUAACUCCCGCUCCUCUGUUGCUUCUGCUGCUGCUGCUGUACAGAGAAAACACUUUCAGUUUAUAAUGAAUUCCACCUAAUGCAGCUGUGCCGCAUUCAGGCUGCACCAUGGUGGUUGGAGUUGCCACAAGACGUGUAAAACACUCCUUUCAGACAUGCUCCUAAUGUGUUUUUAAAUUUAACAGUGAACAGUGUGAAGUUGAUCUUUUGAUGAAGGCACUUCACUGCUAAUUUACCUAAUUUUUUCCCAUGUUGCUACAGUAUUUUAAGUUUUGUGUGUAACAGUAUUUUUGUUAAUACUGUAGGUGCGCUGCUGCGGCUGAUAUGAAAAAUUGAGGCUAUAGUGAAAGAAAGGAAUGAGCUGAAUAUAUUUGCAGGACAAAUGUGACAUUAUGUUUUAAUAAAUCACACAGUGACUAAUGUAAAGUUGUUAUAUUCAGGACAUUGGUGGUUUUCUUGAAUUUCUAUUGUCUCACCAUAUAAUUCACAAACCACAGAGGUUGUUGAUAGUUCAUUAAUUACCUGAGGUGUCCACUUAAUGAAGGUCUCGUGAGAACGGAGCUUAAAGGCUUAUUACAGUUGAUAUAUUCCCCUUGCAUACCCAUGCAUGCAAUCAAAGAUAGGAACACACAUAAUGAAAAUAUAAAAUACAAGACACAAGACUGGUUAAAAACCUAAUAUAUGGUUGACCGUGUUUGGCGAUUUUGUGGGCAAUGUGUUAGAGGAAUAGUUAAUGGUAGUGUGUAUAAUGUGAUACUAGUAGCUAGUAUGCUUUUGGCCCUUUUUUAUUACAAAAAAAGUAUGCUUAAUGAUAUAAUAAACUCAUCUGUGUCUCAUGGAUCAAAUAGGAUUUUAUUCUAUUAAAUGUGUCAAUCCACAUUGAGACCCCUUUCCUCAAAUGGCUA